UUGGGGAAUAAACAGAGCUCUUCCUCCUCCGGUCCAACUCACUGACACCCAACUGUCUCCCAUGGGGCUGGCUGGAAUUUCAAGUGUCCAGCCACCCCCUCAGUCCCCAGGGGAGGCCCAAGGACGCUCCUGGCUAAUGAGCAUGGGAAGGCAGUGGAGGAUGGCCCAAGUCCUUGGGCCCCUGCACCCACGUGGCAGAACCGGAAGAAGCUCUUGGCUCCGCCCUGGCUGUUGUGGCCACUUAGGGAGUGAACCAGCGGAUGGAAGACCUCUCUCUCUCUCUGUCUCUCUUCCUCUCUCUCCUCUCUCUGCCUCUCCUUCUCCCUCUGUGUAACUUUCAAGUAAAUAAAUAAAUUAAAAAAAAUAAUAAUCAGAGUGUGCAUUUGGUGUAGCUGUUACAACACCUCUUAGGACGCCCACAACCUGUGUUGGAGAACCUCGGUUCGAAUCCCGGUUCUGCUUCCAGUUCCAGCUUCUUGCGCCCUCAGAGGCAGCAGGUGGCGGCUCAAGGAGCUGUGUCCCUGCCUCCCAUGUGGGCGCCCCGAUGCAAUUCCACACUCCCAGUUUUGACCUGGCCCAGUCCUGGCUGUGGUGGGCAUUUGGAGUGUGUCUUUCAAAGAGAGAAAAUUAAUUUAGUAAUUUCAACAAUCAAGGAUCUAAUCCCCACUACUACUGGAUGCAGAGGUCAAGCGUCCCUCCCCUUUGGGACGCAGAGAGGAGAAGUGACACUUUCCCCGUCACAGAGUUAGAGACCCAGUGGAGAGGAGAAUCAAGCUGGGAUAGGAUCCUCAAAUUUGCUUUCCUGCUGCUCCACAUUGUCCCAGGAAUUGUGUAAAGAGAAUCCUGCCUGAAUUUUGUUUAAUUCUAGCCACGCAUCCGAGAACAGUUGCUUCUCGUCACAAAUUCUGGAGGGCUCUGGAGGAGGUCACAGCUCUGCAGAGAGGGAGGAGCCUAGGACCAGGGAGGGGGCAGAGCCCGGGGGGGCUCCUCAAGCUGCCCUUGGUCAGUCGCUGGGCCCUCGGCUGCCCGGGUCAGCGGGGAGCUCCUGCAGGCCUUCCGGGAGGCACCUCCUUUCGCCAGGGGUGCCGGCUGGCCGCAGGCAUAUCUUGCCCGGCCAGGGAAUCUGCAGUCCCGUCUCCUGACUCCCGCCGCCUGUCUCUGGCGAGCCCCAGCGCAGGGGGAAAGGUGACUCUGGGUGGCCGCCAGGAGAGCUGGCCGCCACUCUGACUCUACGCUUAGGCUGACCUUAGGAAAUGUGUGGAAAGUUCUGGAGCUUCCGUAUCCUUGGCUGUAAAAUGAGGCUGUGUGUACUUUCCUCGUGGGUUUCAUUGUGAGGAUUUAGUGGGGUUGUAAAAGUCCCAGGGAGUGCCUGGCAUAGCCGUCCUCUAGGGACAGGGGGAAGGGAGGAGCCAAGAGGCUGCAGGGUCAGUGCCGGAGUGCCUGCAGCUCAGGCUACCUUGCAACCUUUAGGCUAGGUCCUCGGCUCUAAAAUGCAUAGGACACUUCUUCCUUCAUAGCUCCGGCACGAACAAAACUGUAAUCAGCACCUUAGGAGAACUCCUUGGCCCGGGGAUUGCCUAGGCUUACGUCCAGCUCUGGGAAACCCAGGUCAGAGCUCAGAGCGCACAGUGCAAGGCUGCAGGCUAGAGGACUAGAGGGAGAAGCCUGGGAGCGCGAGGCUGCCUGGAGGGCUUCCUGGAGGAGGUACCAGAGGCUGCAGGGGCAGAGAGGGAGGCCAGGCGGAAAGAGAGUUUGCGUAGGAGCUGACAGCCGAGUGGAAGAGGAUGCAGCCCUGGGGGAGCUGGGGGUGGAGGGUUCCUGUGGGAGAUGUGGGAGCCGCCGGCCUGGCACUUUGCCUUCCAGUGCCACUGAACACUGAGCAGGAGGCUCUGGUCUGGGAAAGAGAUGGCUUUCCCUCCUCUGCCUCCCAUGUUCUAGAAGCUACUUCUGUUGCCCAGGCUUCUCCCAGUGCUCCCUGGCCGGUCACCUGGGCAGGAGAGAGGCUGGGGUGUGGCCCUGGGGAGUGGGUGUCUCAGCCUGGAGUUUGGUGAGGAAUGUAACAACGCAGAAUGCCGUGGUGUUGCCAUGGCAGCGAGCCCAACACAUCCUGGAGGCAAAGCUGGCUUGAGCUGGCCCAGGCCCAGCCCCUACUCACUGUCCAGGCAUUGGCUCAGAGAUACGCAGCCUGAAGACUCAGCCUGGGACCAUCAGCUGGAAGCAUCGGGAGAGAUGCACUCCCGCGGUGGCGGCCUUGUCACAGAGUGAAUGUGACCUGUCCCAGGAUGAAACCACAGCAGAGGGAGACAGAGCUGAGAGAAGUGGAGAAAGUGGUCCUGGUGACGUCACUGAGCCCUCACCUGGCUAGGCUGAGAGCUGGAUGCGCCCCUGAACCUCCCAACUUCGGGAGCUAAUAAAUGAUGUCUUGUGCUGCA